ensembl:ncRNA F25B4.15 ncRNA
CGUCGGAAACUGCGAAAAAAAGUGAGUGUAGUGACACUUUGAUCGCGGAGGCCGCGGUUAGGUUUUUCGAGAAAAGAAAAUCAGCCGUUGGUCGUUCGUCUAGGUAAUUGAAAGUGCGUGUACUUCGAAGUACAUGGUUAUUCUUUUUA